UACGUUCCCAGGCCUUGUACACACCGCCCGUCACAUCAUGAAAGCCGGUUGUACCCGAAGUCGCCCUAAAAAGUCGCCGAAGGUAUGGCUGGUGAUUGGGAUG
rnacentral:rRNA from 1 species